rnacentral:rRNA from 1 species
AUGCUCGAGAAGGUUUGGAGAAAAUUCACCAAAAAAGCUGCGGGACUGCCGAAGAAGCUGCAAUUUAGACACCCGAAAUGGUUGUGGCAGGAACAACGGAAUGAUUUCUGUGGAUACUACGUUUGCGAGUCCAUCCGCCACACGACCUGUGAACGGGGCUACUCUGAUGAACAAUAUGAAAUGUUUCGGAUGCGGGAUGAACUCCUAGCACCAGAUCUUAUGCGAGCAAUUCAAGAGGAAUUGGCGGCAUUCUUCCUUGACCAUGUGAUCGCUGAAGACGUAGAAUACUAUGUGGACCCUAUGUUCGUAUAUAAUUAG